rnacentral:rRNA from 1 species
ACGGGAGGCAGCAGUGGGGAAUAUUGCGCAAUGGGGGAAACCCUGACGCAGCGACGCCGCGUGAGUGAAGAAGUAUUUCGGUAUGUAAAGCUCUAUCAGCAGGGAAGAAAAAUGACGGUACCUGACUAAGAAGCACCGGCUAAAUACGUGCCAGCAGCCGCGGUAAUACGUAUGGUGCAAGCGUUAUCCGGAUUUACUGGGUGUAAAGGGAGCGCAGGCGGUACGGCAAGUCUGAUGUGAAAGCCCGGGGCUCAACCCCGGUACUGCAUUGGAAACUGUCGAACUAGAGUGUCGGAGGGGUAAGCGGAAUUCCUAGUGUAGCGGUGAAAUGCGUAGAUAUUAGGAGGAACACCAGUGGCGAAGGCGGCUUACUGGACGAUAACUGACGCUGAGGCUCGAAAGCGUGGGGAGCAAACAGGAUUAGAUACCCUGGUA